rnacentral:lncRNA from 1 species
UGCCACCACAGUAGUGCUCAACACAUUAAAGAUUAAUAAAUAAAGCAAGGGAAAGACAGGAAAGGGCAGAAGACAAGAAAAGAUCACUUCUUACUCCGUCAUGGCUGCCGCCCAGGUCUAAGCCACCCUCACUUCUCACCUAAAGGAUCACAGCGACCUUCCAGGCAGUCUCCCAGGCCCCAAGUGCCUGGCUCCCUACAUGCAACGCAGCCCGAUGAUCAUCUCAAGUGUGACUCUGCUGGAAAGCCUGCUCUCCCUUUCCCACAGAGUAAAGCUCACUCUGCUCCAGCCAUCCAGCCCUCCUUGCUGUCCUUUGAGCAGGCCGAAGACGCCCAGCCUCAGGAGCUCUGCCCUGGCCAGUCCCUCUGACUGCUAGGCUCCUCCGCCGGGCAUCCUCACAGCCAACUCUCACCAACUCCAGAUCUUUGCACAAUAGCCAUUUCCUCUGUUAGGCCUGUCCUGUCCACCAUAAGGAAACUUGCAACUCCCUCAGCCCACAGAGCACCUCUCACCGGCUAACAUACUCUGUGGUCACGUGUUUGCUAUCUGCCUCCCUAAUGUCUUUGAGAACAUUAGCUCCCUGAGGGCAGAAAUCUCCUUCACUGACAUAUCCCAAGCCCCCAGAACUAUGCGUGCAGCAUAGUCAGUAACUAUUUGUUGAAUCAAUGAAUGAGAAAACAAUUUCAGGGAACUCUAAGUUGAAAUACACUUUCUCAGUUCACAAUGUUAUCCAUUCUGACCUUUAUCAGAC